rnacentral:rRNA from 1 species
GACGUAGGAGGCAAGCGUUGUUCGGAAUUACUGGGCGUAAAGCGUCCGUAGGCGGAUCUGUAAGUGGAUAGUUAAAUCCCGGGGCUCAACCCCGUGGGUGCUACCCAGACUGCAGGUCUGGAGGUCGGCAGAGGGUGAUGGAAUUCCCGGUGUAGCAGUGAAAUGCGUAGAUAUCGGGAGGAACACCAGUGGCGUAAGCGAUCACCUGGGCUAGACCUGACGCUGAGGGACGAAGGCGUGGGGAGCAAACGGG